GCUUGCUUCAGGAGCACACACACCAAGAUGAAUGAUACAGAGAAGAAUAGCAUGAUCUCUGUGCAAGGAAGACACACAAAUUUGUAAAGUAUUCUAUAUUAAU